rnacentral:lncRNA from 1 species
UUCAUCAUACAAUAUCAUCUUGAGCAUGCCCUCUCUAACAUCUAUCAAUGCUUCUCAGUAUAUAAUAAUGGACGUCCCAAUAAGAGUGGUACACUGUCAUCUGCAUCAUAAUCAAGAACAAUAAAUCCAAUGGGAAUAAUGAACUUACCAACCUUGAUGAGAACAUUCUCAAUGACUCAUUCGGGAAAACUUUAGUUCUAUUUUCCAUCUGUAGCACAACUGAAAAAGGGCCCAG